AAUAUUAUUUUCUUAGAUUUAAACACGCCUAAACAGAAAACACUGUUUAGGAGAUACAACUCAUUUUAAUGGGUGUGGUACUGUUAGAUGCAUAUUAAAAAGGGAACCCUUUUCAUGUAUACUACAGAGGUAAAAAAUGUAAAUUAAAAAUAGUCAUUCACCUCCCAAGAGGUAUAGAUUAUACAGAAAACCACAAACUUUAUCCUUAAGGGAGAGAUACUUUAAAGAUGUUUUAAG